GCAUAUCAGUCAUGGGUAAAAGUUAAUGGAGAAGAACCAAAGCUACCAGAACUGAAUUACACGCAGAACCAAUUAUUCUGGAUCAGUGCAGCUAACGAAAUGUUUGGAUGGUGUCAUUGUUAGGUUGAACGACGCUAGAUAAUGUGUGAGAAAUCUACACCAGAAUCGCUGAAACUGGAUGGUUUAUAUUAUCCACGCAUUCCAGGGCAAUUUAGGAUAAAUGGACAAAUGUCUAAUAUCCCGCAGUUUUCCGAAGAUUUUCAGUGUUUGCCAGGUACACCAAUGAAUCCAAUCAACAAAUGCCAAGUUUGGUAGAUAUGUGAAUUCUAUGAUAUUGGAAUUCAGGAAAGCUAUAAAAAAUGAAACUCAUUAUUUAUUCAUGUUUGCAUGCAGUACGUGGUGCAUGAAUACCUGAAGCCUUAA